CGGACAUCAUAAUGACUGUUUAAGAGGACUAUGCUAUUCAGCUUCAUCAUGUUAUUGACAAAAACCUUUUGCUUCAGGAACCAUUGAUUGUUAUGUUGAGCCUGGGUAAAAUCAAAGAUGCUACAGACAAGUAUCCUCUAAGCGUCCAAAAUAUCAAGUAUGGGACUAGAUUGUAUGUCAACACUAACAUUGCAGAGAUACAACAAUUUUGUGAUAGGUUUGUCAUUAAUUUUGCAUUUUUUAUAUGUAGUCUUGCUGUAACUCUAAUUUUGUUACUUGCGGUCCAUUCAGUUUGUGUGUCCCAUUUUACUCUGGUGGAAUAAUCGAUGAUAGAGGUAGUUCUCAGUCCCAAUCUAGCCAAAGUAAAUUGGUGGAGAAGUUUUUGCACAAUGCUCAGGUGGUCAGUAUAGGUGAAAUUAACAACCUCAAAUAGGAUUGUUACUAUUUGACUGUUGGGACAGUUGACGAAAUCAUCAUUGAUGCUCCAUGGAGUUAUGACAGUUGUCCUUACUGUACCACAACAUUUGAUCCAUCAAAAGUAGGCUCAGCUUGUCGUUCUUGCCAGAACCGAGUGAACGACACAGUUCCAAGGUAUAAGUUAAAUGUUAGGAUGAAGCAUAAUGGGAACAAAGGAAACUUCAUUUUUUGGGAUGCAACAUGUAUCAAGAUGUUUGGUAAGACUGUUGCAAAAUGUCGAGAUGAAUUGAUAGCGGUAUGUUCUGUACAAUGCAAUGAUAGAUUAAAUAAUAUUGUGGUUUGUGAUUGACACAAAUUAAUUUCCCUAUCUAGGCUGGGGACGACAUUAAGGUGUUUCCAUCGUGUGUUGAUGAAAUAUUGUCUAAAACUUGGGCUAUCAGAUUUAAGUACCAUUCACAAUUGCGCCAAUCAUGUGUGUUGGAUGCCAGUGAAGAACCCUAUCAUAUUCAAACAUUGACAACCACCCUUGGGUUGAAAGUAAUAACUAAUUAAGUUUAUCAUAAUAUAAGGUUAACAAAAAAUAAUUGACGUUUGUUCUGCCUUAAUAUUUUGCAUGUAGGGAGAAGCAAGGAUGGGAAAGACAAUAGUUGUUGAGCCUAAAAGUUCACCGCCAAUUUACCAUCCUACGGUGGGUAUUUUGUUCCGAUAUUUUUUUGGGUGUAGGAUUGACAAAUGUUUUUAACUAUUAU